AUUGUGUCAAUCUUGUUUGGGAUUACCAUCCAGCUUUAAAUAGUUUUAACUGAUGGCUUAUGCUCUACUGUUUCUAGAUGACACAACACAAUGUUGGAGCUUUAGUGGUGGUGAGACCCGGAGAAGAGAAGGCAAUUGCUGGAAUUGUUACUGAGAGAGAUUAUCUCCGGAAAAUGAUUGUACAGGGAAGAUCUUCCAAGUCAACUAAAGUUGGUGACAUCAUGACUGAAGAGAAUAAACUGAUCAUAGUGACUCCAGAUACCAAGGUUCUGCAGGCAAUGCAACUGA